UGAUGAUAGCUUUGUUGCUUCAAAAAAAAAAAGACUGUGACUCAGGUUUGCUAGCACUCAAAAAGACUUGGACUGAGGGCAGGUCUGAAAAAACUGAAUAUUUACCUGCGUUUUUGCCAAAAGCUGUAGUUUGAGGAUCUUCAAUGAAACCGAAGUUCAGUGAUGUUGUAGCAAUGAUGAUUUGGUUGGUUUCUUCCUAAUCCUUUGCAGGUGAAAAGAAUGUUGUCUUACUGAGCCCUCCCCCAGUUUGCUAUUUCAGUAAUUAUGCCAUUCCCUAGUGUGAGAGUAGGCUGCAAUUUUAAGGACCUCAGAAUUUUGCUACUGGCUCUCAGUGGUGGACUUUGCCAGAAAACUCUGUUGCAACCGGUUGGUAGAUGUCUGGUGCACAGGAGAUCAGAGAGCAACUCUGCAGAUCAUCAUACAUGUGGUACUGAAGAACAAUCUGAGCUAAGAUUUGGGAACCUCACUGAGUGAAUCAGAUGAGCGUGAUGCGAAGAGCCAAGAAAUGGAGAAUCAAAAUAUCUUGGGACAGCAAGGUUUUCAAUUGAGAUCACUACCCUAAUACGCAACGAGCUGCACAGAAGAGGAACAUUGCUAGAAUUCACAUCCUAGCUGCAGAAAAGUGAGCAAAAGACAAAAGCCUUGGCCCUGGUCACAGUCUGGCAAGGUCAUCACCAAAAUAAAGUUCAACUAAACUCACUUGUACA
rnacentral:lncRNA from 1 species